rnacentral:lncRNA from 1 species
GGAGACAUAGUUCUGACCCUCAAUAUUCUGAGGAAUUAAUGAUGAAAAUAGUAGUAAUAUUUUCUUUGUAAUAACCUACGAGGAGGGCAGACCGGAGUAGUGGUAAAGAACUUCACUACAAGUGAAAUUGGCAAUUUGAAGAGCAUUUUAUAAUGCAAUAUUACUUCAGCUAGAAGCUUCUACUCUAAUGACUUAGCUAAUGCUCCUGCCUAUAGUUCCUCCAGCACAGAGUCCAGAUAAUAAGUAAUGUUCACUUUGUAAUCAAGGUUUGUGGGAUUCAGACCAGUUUUUUUGAACUUUGAAAAGCUCACAGAACUACUAGGAGUGGGUCUUCAGAAGCUGUCACCUUCAUUCCUGGUGCCCAUUUAU